GAUGAACGCUGGCGGCGUGCCUAAUACAUGCCAGUCGAGCGAACAGACGAGGAGCUUGCUCCUCUGACGUUAGCGGCGGACGGGUGAGUAACACGUGGAUAACCUACCUAUAAGACUGGGAUAACUUCGGGAAACCGGAGCUAAUACCGGAUAAUAUAUUGAACCGUAUGGUUCAAUAGUGAAAGACGGUUUUGCUGUCACUUAUAGAUGGAUCCGCGCCGCAUUAGCUAGUUGGUAAGGUAACGGCUUACCAAGGCAACGAUGCGUAGCCGACCUGAGAGGGUGAUCGGCCACACUGGAACUGAGACACGGUCCAGACUCCUACGGGAGGCAGCAGUAGGGAAUCUUCCGCAAUGGGCGAAAGCUUGACGGAGCAACGCCGCGUGAGUGAUGAAGGUCUUCGGAUCGUAAAACUCUGUUAUUAGGGAAGAACAAAUGUGUAAGUAACUAUGCACGUCUUGACGGUACCUAAUCAGAAAGCCACGGCUAACUACGUG
rnacentral:rRNA from 1 species